rnacentral:rRNA from 1 species
AUUGAACGCUAGCGGGAUGCCUUACACAUGCAAGUCGAACGGAGUGGCGAACGGGUGAGUAAUGUAUCGGAACGUGCCCAGUAGCGGGGGAUAACUACGCGAAAGCGUAGCUAAUACCGCAUACUAUUGGAGCGGCCGAUAUCGGAUUGGCGAGUUGGUGGGUUAACGGCUCACCAAGGCGACGAUCCGUAGCUGGGUUGCGAGGACGACCAGGCACACGGGGACGGAGACACGGCCCAGACUCCGACGGGAGGCAGCAGUGGGGAAUUGUGGACAAUGGGGGAAACCCUGAUCCAGCCAUCCCGCGUGUGGGAUGAGGGCCUUCGGUUUGUAAAGCACUUUUGGCAGGAAAGCGGUACCUGCAGAAUAAGCACCGGCUAACUACGUGCCAGCAGCCGCGGUAAUUC